CCUACGGGAGGCAGCAGUGAGGAAUAUUGGUCAAUGGGCGCAAGCCUGAACCAGCCAAGUCGCGUGAGGGAAGACGGCCCUACGGGUUGUAAACCUCUUUUGCCGGGGAGCAACGGCCGCCACGUGUGGCGCCCCUGAGAGUACCCGGAGAAAAAGCAUCGGCUAACUCCGUGCCAGCAGCCGCGGUAAUACGGAGGAUGCGAGCGUUAUCCGGAUUUAUUGGGUUUAAAGGGUGCGUAGGCGGGGCGUUAAGUCAGGGGUCAAAUUGAGGGGCUCAACCCCUUCCCGCCGUUGAAACUGGCGCUCUUGAGUGGAAGAGAAGUAUGCGGAAUGCGUGGUGUAGCGGUGAAAUGCAUAGAUAUCACGCAGAACCCCGAUUGCGAAGGCAGCAUGCCGGCGUCCUACUGACGCUGAAGCACGAAAGCGCGGGGAUCGAACAGGAUUAGAUACCCUGGUAGUC
rnacentral:rRNA from 1 species